rnacentral:rRNA from 1 species
AUUGAACGCUGGCGGCAGGCCUAACCCAUGCAAGUCGAGCGGAGCGGCGGACGGGUGAGAAAUGCCUAGGAAUCUGCCUGGUGGUGGGGGAUAACGUACGGAAACGGGAGAUAAUACCGACUACUGUCCGAUAAGCAUAGGUCGGGUUAGCUAGUUGGUGGGGUAAAGGCCUACCAAGGAGACGAGCCGUAACUGGUCUGAGAGGAUGAGCAGUAACACUGGAACUGAGACACGGUCCAGACUCCGACGGGAGGCAGCAGUGGGGAAUAUUGGACAAUUGGCGAAAGCCUGAUCCAGCCAUGCCGCGUGUGUGAAGAAGGUCUUCGGAUUGUAAAGCACUUUAAGUUGGGAGGCGUUACCAACAGAAUAAGCACCGGCUAACUUCGUGCCAGCAGCCGCGGUAAUAC